rnacentral:rRNA from 1 species
UACGUAGGGUGCAAGCGUUGUCCGGAAUUAUUGGGCGUAAAGAGCUCGUAGGCGGUCUGUCGCGUCUGCUGUGAAAACUCAGGGCUUAACCCUGAGCUUGCAGUGGGUACGGGCAGACUAGAGUGCGGUAGGGGAGACUGGAAUUCCUGGUGUAGCGGUGAAAUGCGCAGAUAUCAGGAGGAACACCGGUGGCGAAGGCGGCAUCCUGGACCGGUAUUGACGCUGAGGCGCGAAAGCUAGGGGAGCAAACGGG